rnacentral:rRNA from 1 species
AUGGCGGGCGAGGGGGAGGAGGACGAGGCGGCGGAGAUCGAGCUGCAGCUGGAGCAGCACCUGGAGGAGCAGCGGUCCUCCCUCGCCGCCGUCGACGAGGCCCUCGCCGCCGACGCCUCCAACGCGGACCUCCUCGAGGUGCAUGGGGAACUUCUGUCUGCUAUUAAAGAUGCAGAGGAAGGGCUUCUGCAUUUGAAGCGUUCUAGGCUAGUGAAGCAAAUCGAUGAGAUCUUUCCAAAUCAGGAGUCAGCAUCGCUAUCAACUGAAGCUGCUAUUGAGCCAUUAGAUCCACAUGAUGUUGAGCCAGAACCAUUGGAGCCACAAGAAUUUUCAGUAGGAUCAAAGUGUAGAUUCAGGCACAAUGAUGGGCGUUGGUAUAAUGGAUGCAUUCUGGGACUUGAAGGUUCAGGCAAUGCACGGGUCUCAUUUCUGACACCCACAUCAGAAAACAUGUCGAUGUGCAAGUUCUUUCUGCAGCAACGGUGUCGGUUUGCUAAUAACUGCCGCUUGUCCCAUGGUGUUUUAAUUCCUACUUCAUCCUUGAAACGGUUUACGCCAACUGCAUGGCGACAGUCCCUGGCAGGAUCCAGCAUACUGGCGGCUUCUGGGCACCAUUCUGGCCUUUGGAGGAGAGCUGAACUUGAGUCUUGGGAUGAUGAGUUGAAGCGCGGUCAGGUGGUCUUUCAAGAUGAUGGGAGUACUGCAACGCUUCCGGGUGAUUCCCUUUCUAUCCCAGAAUAUGCUGAUGUGAGCAACGAAGAUGAUGAAAGAGGCUCAAGCGAUGAUGAAUCCGAGUUAAGUGAAGAUGGCGAUCAGGAGGACGAAUCCAUCCAUCAGGGCCUUGGCCGUAUGGAAACCAGAAAUUUAACCGGUGUUCAGUCCGAGACUGUGAUCUUUGCAAAAUGGGAACAGCACACCAGGGGCGUUGCCUCCAAAUUGAUGGCAAAGAUGGGGUAUCGAGAGGGCAUGGGGCUAGGCUUGUCUGGCCAAGGCAUGCUCGAUCCAAUCCCAGUCAAAGUACUACCGCCCAAGCAAUCACUCGACCAUGCGGUCACAACAACCACGGGCGAGGACGGCCGAAGCAUACACCGCGAGAAAGAUAAGAAGCGCAGUCGGGGCGGGCAAAGGAAGCGCGACAGGAAGUUUGCGGAGCUGGCCAGGGCCGCCAAGGCCGAGGAGGCGGAGAGGUCCGUCUUCAGCUUCAUGAACAACCAGCUGGUGAGCCAGGAAGCGUCAGAAGGCUCCUCGGCCGCCAAGGCCAGGAAAGAGUCGCCAUCGGGUCAGGCCAAUGGGCAUCCAAAGAAAGAAGACAACAGAAGGUCUCUGCUCGCGUACGAUGACGAGGUGAAGGAGCUGAGGAGCCAGGUCGGGCGGCUGGAGGAGAUGGUGCAGCGCAACCGCAAGGACAAGGCGGUGCACGAUGCGGCGUCGAGGAAGCUGGAGCAGACGCGGAAGGCGCUCGCCGACGCCGAGGCGACGCACGCCUCGGCCACCAACGCUAUCGCCAGGAAGGAGAAGGAGAAGAAGUGGUUGAAAUUCUGA